GACGAACGCUGGCGGCGUGCUUAACACAUGCAAGUCGAACGAUGAAGGAGAGCUUGCUCUCCGGAUUAGUGGCGAACGGGUGAGUAACACGUGACUAACCUGCCCCUUUCUCUGGGAUAACGCUCCGAAAGGAGUGCUAAUACCGGAUACGAACUCUGAACACAUGUUCGGAGUUGGAAAGGUUUUCGGAAAGGGAUGGAGUCGCGGCCUAUCAGCUUGUUGGGGAGGUAACGGCGCACCAAGGCGACGACGGGUAGCCGGCCUGCGAGGGCGACCGGCCACGCUGGGACGGAGACACGGCCCAGACGCCUACGGGAGGCAACAGUGGGGAAUAUUGCACAAUGGGCGAAAGCCUGAUGCAGCGACGCCGCGUGAGGGAUGAAGGUCUUCGGAUUGUAAACCUCUUUCAGUAGGGACGAAGCGAAAGUGACGGUACCUAAAGAAGAAGCACCGGCUAACUACGUGCCAGCAGCCGCGGUAA
rnacentral:rRNA from 1 species